rnacentral:rRNA from 1 species
GACGGGGAGCACUACGAACGGGUGGAGCCUGUCGGUUUAAUUGGAUUCACGCCGGAAUCUCGACCGGGGCGACAGCAAUAUGAGGUCAGGCUGAAGACCUUACCGGAUUAGCUGAGAGGUGGUGCAUGGCCGUCGUCAGUUCGUACUGUGAAGCAUCCUGUUAAGUCAGGCAACGAGCGAGACCCACGUCCACAGUUGCCAGCAUACCCUCCGGGGUGAUGGGUACACUGUGGAGACCGCCGCUGCUAAAGCGGAGGAAGGAAUGGGCAACGGUAGGUCAGUAUGCCCCGAAUCUCCCGGGCUACACGCGGGCUACAAUGGUUGGUACAAUGGGUAUCUACCCCGAAAGGGGACGGGAAUCUCCUAAACCCAUCCGUAGUUCGGAUUGUGGGCUGCAACUCGCCCACAUGAAGCUGGAAUCUGUAGUAAUCGUGUCUCAAAAUGGCACGGUGAAUAUGUCCCUGCUCCCU